rnacentral:rRNA from 1 species
GCAGUCGAGCGACUGAUUAGAAGCUUGCUUCUAUGACGUUAGCGGCGGACGGGUGAGUAACACGUGGGCAACCUGCCUGUAAGACUGGGAUAACUUCGGGAAACCGAAGCUAAUACCGGAUAGGAUCUUCUCCUUCAUGGGAGAUGAUUGAAAGAUGGUUUCGGCUAUCACUUACAGAUGGGCCCGCGGUGCAUUAGCUAGUUGGUGAGGUAACGGCUCACCAAGGCAACGAUGCAUAGCCGACCUGAGAGGGUGAUCGGCCACACUGGGACUGAGACACGGCCCAGACUCCUACGGGAGGCAGCAGUAGGGAAUCUUCCGCAAUGGACGAAAGUCUGACGGAGCAACGCCGCGUGAGUGAUGAAGGCUUUCGGGUCGUAAAACUCUGUUGUUAGGRAARA